rnacentral:rRNA from 1 species
UACGGGGGGGGCAAGCGUUGUUCGGAAUUACUGGGCGUAAAGGGCUCGUAGGUGGCCAACUAAGUCAGACGUGAAAUCCCUCGGCUUAACCGGGGAACUGCGUCUGAUACUGGAUGGCUUGAGUUCGGGAGAGGGAUGCGGAAUUCCGGGUGUAGCGGUGAAAUGCGCAGAUAUCAGGAGGAACACCAAUGGCGAAGGCAGCACUCUGGGGCGUGACUGACGCUGAGACGCGAAAGCGUGGGGAGCAAACAGG